rnacentral:rRNA from 1 species
AUGUGGACGCGCCCCAUGGAUCACCAGGCAAAAACACUUAAAGGGAGCCGUGAACGGGCUGUACGAGGACACGGGAAAAAACUGGCCGACAGCCGUCGUGGACGGAAGUUGACGCGCGCCAUGGAAAACUGGGCAAAACCACGUACGUGGCACACGCCGCGUAGACGGACCCUUACACGGACCCGUGAACGGGCUGUACGUGGACACGGGAAAAAACUGGCCGACGGCCGUCGUGGACGGAAGUGGACGCGCGCCAUGGAAAACUGGGCAAAACCACGUACGACGCACACGCACGUACACGGACCGUUACACGGACCCGUGAACGGGCUGUACGUGGACACGGGAAAAAAGUGGCCGACGCCCGUCGUGGACGGAACCGGACGCGCGCCAUGGAAAACUGGGCAAAACCACGUACGAGGCACACACACGUACACGGACCCGUACACGGACCCGUGA